rnacentral:lncRNA from 1 species
AUGCCCUUUUCUGGGUGUUAUGGAUGGCAAAAGGCGGAGACUGUUUACCAUCAAGCCUCACAACCUGAGUUAAUACCUGGGACACAUACAGUAGAGAAAACUGAACUCUGUAAGUUUCCCUCUGACCUUGCCACCAUGUUGCUAUAUAUGAUGAGAUAUGGCCAAAUAGCAGAUAGUUAGAAAAAUGAGAUGCAUUUUAAUAGCCCUUUCUCUAAAAUAUAG